ACAAUUGUGACUGUGUGGUGAGACUGGAAAAGUGCUGCUCACACACAACUGGAUAGAGCUCAAACUGGUUUGCUAGCAGGAAUGGGCUACGAUUCACAUGGGGUGCGAAAACCGUCUAGAAGUGUUUCCUGGCCUUUUCUUCAGGCCACAACAGGUGAUCCUGGUGUCAUAUGGCGAGAAGAGCCUCAGGCGGCUGUGGUCAGUAAUACCGGAAAGGACGACAAAUGUACUGCCAGGUUGGUGGAGUACUAGUGGCCGGCAAGACCCGAGCAGGAGCAGGGACACUGACGGAAUGGAUGGGUGACAAAAAUCAUAGCAGUUGUCUAGAUGCCGGCAGAAGGAGUAUGUUGCAGUCCUUUUGUGAAUGGCAGAUGGCGAUCGCUUCAGCAGUACGUACACUGAAGAGAUGCUGGACUUAGCUUUGCCCUCUGCUGGGUAAUAAGCUGUAGAAGGAUGGUCGUCCACAUAGUUACUGCAGAGAUUCCUGUUUGCGACCAAAUGGCUGUUUUGUUGACACAAACACAGAAAUUCCAGAAAAAAAAAACACAAUUCUGCAGACAAAAUUAAGACAUGUCGUAAUAUUUGGAGGGAUCUGUUUUCCUCUGUAUAUUUGAAUUGUGUAUUUGCGUAGCAAAACAUAAUGUUGAAUCUCCUUGGAGGCUAUUUGUUUCAGUUUAUUAUUUUUCCCUGCAAAGACGCCAAACAAACGGGAUCAGAUAUUGAGUCUUUUCUCUUAUCUGCUGCAUAUUCCAUAGGGCUUAAGUUCCAAAUGGAGAAAAUUAUUUCAGACAAGAAUUUGCCAGGGAGUUUUUCUCAUGGCUACGUCAAGGUGAAGACUAGUGUCAGUUAUCGAUCUCUGAAGGUACGCAGUGUGCGAGCCUGCUCCUUGGGUCCUUGGACAAGGGGAACCAAUCAAUCAGAAAGCUGUAAUUUCAGACUCUCAGUGAAUUUGAAAUACUAAGGGAACUUUAUUGGCAGGCACUUGGACACACUCUCUGUGGGGGUCUCAUAGUCCUUUUAGGAAAAUCCGUCCAUCUUUCC